rnacentral:rRNA from 1 species
AUUACCGCGGCUGGUGGCACGUAGUUAGCCGUGGCUUUCAGGUUAGAUACCGUCAAGGGAUGAACAGUUACUCUCAUCCUUGUUCUUCUCUAACAACAGAGUUUUACGAUCCGAAAACCUUCUUCACUCACGCGGCGUUGCUCGGUCAGACUUUCGUCCAUUGCCGAAGAUUCCCUACUGCUGCCUCCCGUAGG